GGUAUCCGACUUGAUUGAAAUCCAGGAUAGGUAUGGGUUGUAGAAAAAAUAUCUAAAGUGAAUUUGGAUCAGAUACGGAUAAUGAAAUAUCUUGUCCCAAAUCAACCCAAUGUAUAUAUUUUAUUUAGUUAUUUAUUUAUACCAUUUAAACUCUUACAGAUAAACACCCAACACAAAACCUUAGCCAUCGUCUAAGCCUCCCUAUUCGGCUGCUCCAAGCCUCCCACCCGAUUGA
rnacentral:lncRNA from 1 species